AGUGAACGCUGGCGGCAGGCCUAAUACAUGCAAGUCGAACGGCAGCACAGCAGAGCUUGCUCUGUGGGUGGCGAGUGGCGGACGGGUGAGGAAUACAUGGGAAUCUGCCCAGUCGUGGGGGAUAACGUAUGGAAACGUACGCUAAUACCGCAUGCGCCCUACGGGGGAAAGUCGGGGACCGCAAGGCCUGACGCGAUUGGAUGAGCCCAUGUUCGAUUAGCUAGUUGGCGGGGUAAAGGCCCGCCAAGGCGACGAUCGAUAGCUGGUCUGAGAGGAUGAUCAGCCACACUGGAACUGAGACACGGUCCAGACUCCUACGGGAGGCAGCAGUAGGGAAUAUUGGACAAGUGGGGGCAACCCUGAUCCAGCCAUGCCGCGUGAGUGAAGAAGGCCCUCGGGUUGUAAAGCUCUUUUGUCCGGAAAGAAAGCAAUCGGUUAAUACCCGGUUGUUCUGACGGUACCGGAAGAAUAAGCACCGGCUAACUUCGUGCC
rnacentral:rRNA from 1 species